UACGUAGGGGGCAAGCGUUAUCCGGAUUUACUGGGUGUAAAGGGAGCGUAGGCGGCAUGGUAAGUCUGAUGUGAAAGGCAGGGGCUCAACCCCUGGACUGCAUUGGAAACUAUCAAGCUUGAGUGCCGGAGAGGUAAGUGGAAUUCCUAGUGUAGCGGUGAAAUGCGUAGAUAUUAGGAGGAACACCAGUGGCGAAGGCGGCUUACUGGACGGUAACUGACGCUGAGGCUCGAAAGCGUGGGGAGCAAACAGG
rnacentral:rRNA from 1 species